UGGUCCCAGCAGCUGCUUCUUCCAGGUCCCCCCAGGGGGAAACUAGUGCAUCACACAGUCUUCCUGUCAAGGGGCUGCAGACCUCUAAGUGCACAGGAGCUAGCAGCAGGGGUGGGUCCCAUUUGCAUGAGCAGCCCCUCCUUUUGAGCUCUGUGGACUGGGGAUAAGAGAGGCCCAGGGCAGCCCAGCCCUGGCUCUGUGGUCUAGGAAGGGCGUGUGUCACCAUGGCCUGGAUCCCCGUCCUCGUCGUGCUCCUCUGCCACUGCACAGGUUCCCUGUCCCAGCCUGUCGUGACUCAGCCACCCUCCCUCUCUGCAUCUCUGGGAGCCACAGCCAGACUCACCUGCACUCUGAGCAGGGACAUCAAUGUUGGAAGCUAUAGCAUAUACUGGUACCAACAGAGUCCAGGGAGCCCUCCCCGGUAUCUCCUGUACUACUACUCAGACUCAGAUAAGCACCAGGGCCCUGGGGUCCCCAGGCGCUUCUCCGGGUCCAAAGAUGCCUCGGCCAAUGCAGGGCUUCUGCUCAUCUCUGGGCUGCAGCCUGAGGAUGAGGCUGACUAUUAUUGUGCAAUCUGGCCUAGUAGUGCUGUUCACAGUGACACAGACACAUGGGGAAGUGGGACAAAUACCCAGCCUGCUUAGACCACUGUAGUCUGAGUCUCUGAAGUCUAAUGUAAAUUGAAUGCACAAUUACUCUACUUGGGUGUAGCUACUGGAUCUGAAUGUCUUUCUUCCCAGUUUCCUAUCAAUCCUGUGUGAACUCUACGAAAAAAAGAAAAAAAAAGAAAGAAAAAUGACAACAACAAUAAAGCAAAUCAAAGAGAACAAAAAAGUUAUAACGAUGCAGAAAUUUCGCCUAGUGGUUCACACGUAAAAAUUAGAGCCUGUGGAUUUGGCUUUUUUUCUCUUCGCAAGCGUCCAUCAACUUGCCUUAGUUUUCUGGUCAGAGUCUCAGACCAUCCCCCAGGCAGACAGUCCUCCACUGCAUGGCCUGUGUUCCUCUAGGAGUCAGAGCAGAGGCCCUCCCUUCCCUCCAGGUUCCUGUGCUCAGGCUGACUGAGUAGCUCUGUGUCCCAGCGAGGAGACACUAAGGAAUCACAGACGCAGAGCUGGCCUGGCCCACUGGCUGGGUACCUGCCCUUCAUUUGUGAUGUCAGGAGAGGGUGACUGCCCGUGGGAGAAACUGUGUGUGAAAGUUAGCAAACUUCUCAGUGGGGCUUGUGAGGGACAGGAGGGAGUGCCACCAUUGCAGCAAAAUUCUCAGUCUGCUUGGGAGAUUUCACUGACGUGACUUCCCUACAGCUGACACCAUCAGGGCCCAUGGGCAGCAUGUGGCUGGUUUCUGGAGCCCAGAAGAACGGACUGUGUCCUCAUCUCCUCUCCUGCCACGUCGGGGUUGUCCGUGAUCCAUGCAGUAGAGGGGCUGCGGGGCACUAUGUUGCAUAAAGGAAGUCGAUCCCAUGAGCCUUUCCAGGAGAAGGUCUUGUCAUUUGUGACAACAUGGACGAACCUGCAGGACAUGACUCUAAGAGAAAUAAGGCCGACACAGAAAGGCAAAUGCUUUUUUAUCUCAUUUAUAUGUGGAACCUACAGGAAAAAGAUAAUAAAAUCUCUGUUAAUUUUUAGUGAUGAGGAUGAGUUAGAAUAGGGUAACACAUAUAAAGAUGGGAAAGAGAUUGGUGCGAGUGCAACUUCCUUAACAUAAGUUGGAUUUUCAUCUAGUAAUUUUUAAUUAUGAAAAUACACACAACAGGAAAUUUACUCUUUUCAUCACUUUCUUGUGCAAUUCAGAGAUAUGAAAUAUAUUCGCCAUGUUGGGUGACCAUCA